UACAGAGGAUGCAAGCGUUAUCCGGAAUGAUUGGGCGUAAAGCGUCUGUAGGUGGCUUUUUAAGUCCGCCGUCAAAUCCCAGGGCUCAACUCUGGACAGGCGGUGGAAACUACCAAGCUGGAGUACGGUAGGGGCAGAGGGAAUUCCCGGUGUAGCGGUGAAAUGCGCAGAUAUCGGGAAGAACACCCGUGGCGAAGGCGGCACUCUGGGACGGUACUGACGCUGAGACGCGAAAGCAUGGGGAGCGAACAGG
rnacentral:rRNA from 1 species